ACUUUUAUAAUAUAAAUAAGUAUACUUGACUUCCAAUCAAAAAGCCUAAAAUAAUUUUAGUAAAAGUA
rnacentral:tRNA from 1 species